CUCCUGUCUCUGAAAACCAGUCUCUCAAGGCCAGAGAAAAAUAAUAAUUCAAUGGGAAAAGUCAGCUACAGAAACAAUCAGUAAGUCUAGGAUAUGGAACUCUGAGGUAGAAGAAGGCCUAUCCAAAACAAUUUGAGGAAGUAAAAUGCAAGACCUUAGGAUUUGUAUUAAAAAAAGAUAAAAGAGGGAAGUUUGUACCCCAAGGGAAGCUUGGACUUUCGGUAUGGAGAGGGGGAAAGAGAGGAUAAUCCCCCUUCCACAAAUUGGGGUUCAGGGGAGACAGCUGAUGUUUAGGGUUGGCUCAGACAGAGGAGAGAGAGUUUGAAGAUUUUCCUCUUUCUGCCUUCCUUCCUCAGCUAAAGCUGCUCUCCCAGAUUCGCUCUUGUCCCUUUUGUCCCUCCUCCACUACUCAAGAUCAAAGGGUCUCCCCUUGAUCUGUUCACUCACCCUCAGCUUGGGGAACAGAUAACUUUUAAUGUCAAAUCAGUCAGGUAAUACAAAAGGAAUAAUGGGCAGGGAAGAAUGGGAAAAGGAAUGUGGGAAAAGUCAGUCCUUGUCUCUAUCUAAACCCUUUUCCCCUCCCUGCUCAAAUUUGGAGGUAACUCAGGCCUUGGCAGCCUGAGCCUCCUGAGAGAAAGUCAGGUUGACUUACCCCUGGGCAACAGGAGCUGAGGUAAAGUCUGCUCAGGCUUCUCUUCCAAAAGUCCUUUCAAUUGGGAAGUGUUAGGGGAAAAGAUUUCCAGUCACCAGCAGGAAGAGUGGGUAACCCUCAGGAGAAAGUCUUUUUCCCAACUUCUCUCUUCGGCUUCUCAAGACUGAGAGACCCUCACUGCUCUCCCAGCCAGAGUCUUCUUCUCCUCUGGAAUCCACUCCUGGGGCCCCUCCCCCAUCGAGGCACCAGCAUCCAAGGAGGUCCCCUCAUCUUGGAGCAGACCUUGCUCGUGGCUGGAAGCAAAGCUAGAUUUAAUCUUCUGGGAAGGCCCUUUGGCUGAGGCCUCUGAACUCCCCCUGUCUCAGGCCAGAUUGGAGCAGAGAUCUUUCCCUUUCUCUCUCUCUCUCCCUCAUUCUUAAUUUCUUCCUUCUAUUGUAAAUAAACCACCAUAAAAUUCUAUUUUGACUUGAACA
rnacentral:lncRNA from 1 species